CCUACGGGGGGCAGCAGUGAGGAAUAUUGGUCAAUGGACGAGAGUCUGAACCAGCCAAGUAGCGUGAAGGAUGACUGCCCUAUGGGUUGUAAACUUCUUUUAUAUGGGAAUAAAAUGUUCCACGUGUGGGAUUUUGUAUGUACCAUAUGAAUAAGGAUCGGCUAACUCCGUGCCAGCAGCCGCGGUAAUACGGAGGAUCCGAGCGUUAUCGGGAUUUAUUGGGUUUAAAGGGAGCGUAGGUGGAUUGUUAAGUCAGUUGUGAAAGUUUGCGGCUCAACCGUAAAAUUGCAGUUGAAACUGGCAGUCUUGAGUACAGUAGAGGUGGGCGGAAUUCGUGGUGUAGCGGUGAAAUGCUUAGAUAUCACGAAGAACUCCGAUUGCGAAGGCAGUUCACUGGACUGCAACUGACACUGAGGCUCGAAAGUGUGGGUAUCAAACAGGAUUAGAUACCCUAGUAGUC
rnacentral:rRNA from 1 species